AGGAUAAAGGAUUUACUCUCAUAGGUGACUUUACUUCUGUGCUAUAUGGACGCAAUUUUGUACUUACACACACACCCUGAAAGAAAUGGAAGUAUCUUGCAAUACCCAUUCUUUUCAGGUUUGAGGAUGGUAUACGGGGAGUCGACACCCCCAAUCUAUUCAAGGCAGCAAGAAGUUUUUAUGAGGACUCAGGACUUGGUUCUUUCUCUCAAUAGGUAUUAUUGUGUCAACCACAUUAUUUUCUUACUACAUUUCCUGUACAGAGAGUAUAUAGCUACAAAAAAUGCUACUCAAAUUCAGAUGUAUUUAUAUUAAUACUAGUAGCAUUUAUGCACAAAAGGGAAACUUUUUCAGGUGAUACAUAAUACAUAGCGAGUGUUUUACACCAUGGACUUGAUGAAUAUAUAAUUGAUUGGAUGUCACUUUUUAAUUUAUCUCAACAUCCAAAACUUUGUUAUAAUUGUGUUCAUUUCAAAGGUUUUUAUGAGUUUUACCUAUUUUAUAAGAGAAAUGUUAUCGGAACACAAGUUUUUUAUACACAUACUUGACACACAUAUUGCUCAACGGCAGUUUUCUAAAUACUUGUGAUAAAUGGUCUCAU
rnacentral:lncRNA from 1 species